rnacentral:tRNA from 1 species
UGGAAUGUAGCUCAGUGAUUGUGCACAGGCUUUGUGUGUAUGAGGUCCUUGGUUCAGUCCCCAGCAUUUCAU